GUGUUUAUUCCAGAUCCAGUCUGUCAGCAGGAAGUGGCUCCAGUCCUCUCCUGGUAGCUAGAAGCAAUAACUUGCUGGUUUUGCUCUUUGAUCUAUUAUAGAAGAAACCUGGUGGUACAGAGACUGAGGAGUUUAAUGGUCAUGACUCUCAUGGAGCUGCAGGUGAAGAAGAAGGAAAACUGAGGAGAAGAUGAUCUGCAGGAUCCUGCUGCUCAUCAUCCUCAACUCAUGUCUCUGUGCAGCAACAUUUGUAGUGAAUGUGACACAGAGCUCCUAUCAGGCAGAGGAGAACCACAGCAUCACUCUGGAGUGGACCUUCCCCCCCAGACUUCAUGGAUCCUGGAGAAAUCUGUUCAUCUACUGCAGAUUGUUAACUCCUCGCAGAUUCUCGGUCCUGUAUCGGGUCCAUGAAGGUGUUGAGUUUCCAGAGAUUCAGGAUGAACAGUUUUCCGGACGAGUCCAUAGUAAAGAAGUCUUCCUCAAGAAAGGACGAAUCAGACUCCAUGUGCCCAGACUGAGGACUGAAGACUCUGGUCUGUAUUGGUGUGAUGUGAAGAUUGAUGAUGAUUGUGGUUUUGGAUCCUUUAACCUCAAUGUCUCAAGAAUUUAACUCUAAAAGUACUUUUAGAGAAAAUUCCUAAACUUCUGUUGUAAAAAUUAGGACAUUUAAACAUUUCUAAUCUGUUUUAAUAUCAGGACAUUAUUAUAAUUUAUCAAAACUUGUAUUUCUUAGUGAUUUUGGAUUUGUGUUAAAUAAUUGGCUCCAUUUGUAGUCUGAGUAACUCUACUGUCUGAUCAGAUGUUUCAUCUUCUGUUGUUUUAAAUGUUGUUUGUGUGAAGAUUUGCUCCUAAACUGUCAUCAGCUGCUGUGUUUCUUCCUGUUGCUUCAUUAAAAACUUUAUCCAGCAGCUUCAUCUGAGUGAGGAUCUCACCUCCCUGAACAUCCAGAUGUUGACAGACUCACAGACUCUAAACUUUAGUACAAAUCAUUUUAAUCAGGCUGGAAAACAUCCAAGUUUUUCCCUCUUUGAUAAAACAAGACAACUAAAUUAUAAAUAUUAAGCCUUUAUUGCUGUUGUACAUUAUUGUGAUAUUUUCCUCUGUUUAUUCAGAAGUCCAUGCUGUAAAUCAACUGAUCUGCUGUUUCUGUGCCUGGAUGUGAUAAAGAAACUGAUGUUCAGACCUGAACUGGGUCAGAACCAGAAUAAAAUCUAUUUUAAUAUCAGA